GAUGAACGCUGGCGGCGUGCUUAACACAUGCAAGUCGAACGAUGAAGCCCAGCUUGCUGGGUGGAUUAGUGGCGAACGGGUGAGUAACACGUGAGUAACCUGCCCUUAACUCUGGGAUAAGCCUGGGAAACUGGGUCUAAUACCGGAUAGGAGCGCCUACCGCAUGGUGGGUGUUGGAAAGAUUUAUCGGUUUUGGAUGGACUCGCGGCCUAUCAGCUUGUUGGUGAGGUAAUGGCUCACCAAGGCGACGACGGGUAGCCGGCCUGAGAGGGUGACCGGCCACACUGGGACUGAGACACGGCCCAGGCUCCUACGGGAGGCAGCAGUGGGGAAUAUUGCACAAUGGGCGAAAGCCUGAUGCAGCGACGCCGCGUGAGGGAUGACGGCCUUCGGGUUGUAAACCUCUUUCAGUAGGGAAGAAGCGAAAGUGACGGUACCUGCAGAAGAAGCACCGGCUAACUACGUG
rnacentral:rRNA from 1 species